AGAGUUUGAUCCUGGCUCAGAGCGAACGCUGGCGGCAGGCCUAACACAUGCAAGUCGAGCGCCGUAGCAAUACGGAGCGGCAGACGGGUGAGUAACGCGUGGGAACGUGCCCUUCGGUUCGGAAUAACUCAGGGAAACUUGAGCUAAUACCGAAUACGUCCGAAAGGAGAAAGAUUUAUCGCCGAAGGAUCGGCCCGCGUAAGAUUAGCUAGUUGGUGAGGUAACGGCUCACCAAGGCUCUGAUCUUUAGCCUGGUCUGAGAGGACGAUCAGCCACACUGGGACUGAGACACGGCCCAGACUCCUACGGGAGGCAGCAGUGGGGAAUAUUGGACAAUGGGCGCAAGCCUGAUCCAGCCAUGCCGCGUGAGUGAUGAAGGCCUUAGGGUUGUAAAGCUCUUUUGGCAGGGACGAUAAUGACUGUACCUGCAGAAUAAGCAC
rnacentral:rRNA from 1 species